AUUGCUACGAGGCAGCACAGAAGUAAAGCACGCACCUCCUUCUCGCGCCAAAGUCUCACACCGUGAUACUCUUGCCUUUCGCAGGUACUCGAACACUGCAAGCAGGGAGCGUGAGGUAAGAAGGCAACGAACGAAGUAAAGAGAAACUCGGCAACACUACCGCACACAGACGCACCCACGUACACACUCUCGCAAGCUUCAAGGCCGAGCGCGAGCGCGCACACAGAGCAAGUAGGAGACACGUGUGCACAGAGAGGGAGCUGGCGGCCGCCUCUUGCUUUUUUCGCGUUCUUUUCUUUUGUCGGUUCCCUGCCGCCUUGUCUAAUCGUGUGAAGUUGUCGGGAGUCCUUUGCUCACGUGUGCGUCUGUCAGCGACUGCCCCCUACCCUGCCCUGCCUUGUCGCUUCCUCUCGCGCGCUCCGGUCUACGACCCCGCCUCGCAUAAGCUUGUUUUCUUUUCCGGUGUGUUACGUCGUCUCUGUGACUGUGCGAGCGAUUAGGCGCGUAUCUGCUUCUGUCGUGUGUGUCUGUGCAUAAAGCUGGCCACCCCCUCCUUCACUGCCUCUCCGUCACGCAUACACACACGCGUGGAAGUCCCGCGAACAACAGCGUUGCUCGCUGGCUCGGUUCUCUCUCUUCGCUUCUUCGUCUGCCCUGUUGACAGCUUAAAUUCACACCCCUCUCCUCUCUUCACCACCUUUUAGAUCCUUCACCACCAUCUCCCCUCCCCCCUCUCCUUCUCCUCAAACCCUCUCUGUACAUACGUGUAUACACGUAUGUGUUGGAGCUCGCCGUUUCGGUUCAUCUUCCCUCUUCUCUUUGUUGUUUGCUUCGUAUUGUCUCUUGCCGUUUUCCGUUUUCCUUUUUUUCGUUUGGUACUUUACACACCGCACGUUAGAUCCCUCUUCUCUCUCUCCUGUGCACGUCGUCGCCCUUCGCAUUCUCCAGUACGCACGCGCUGACAGGCUUCGCUUUUUUUCUUCAUUUUGUGCAUGUGUGUGCGUGUGUGUGUGUGCAGAUUUCUAAGUAGAAGAUCCCGUGGAGAGGGUGCACAUAGGAGCCGCACGCUUGAUUAGGGGAGUCCAACAGAGGUGCUCGAGUUAUCUGUCUGAGGUUUCAUCACCGUAGUUGCCUUCCCCUUAUCCCACCCACUUCCUCUUCCUCUUCACUGUUCAUUCGUGCCAGAUACAGUACUUGAUACACGCGCGGCGUGACAUAGACAGAGAGACGGCAGCCCCUCUUCGCCCGACGCCUCACGCCACGACACCAGUUCUUGUAUCCCUGCUUUGCCUUUGCUGACAGUCAACGCGUUUUCGUUUCGCCAUUUGUUCUCUUGUCUGCUGCUGUGCGUGAGCGCGUGCGAGACAGCAUGGCCGCCCUUCGUGAGGUGUCGAACCUCGCCAGCAACCUCGGCGCCGACAUCAAGCAGCGUCAACAGAACUGCCGCGUUGACCCCAACAACAAUGGCUUCUCCGGCGCCUCAUUUCUUAAUCAAGACAGCCUCCACCGAGGUUCACAGCAGGAGCAGCAACUUUCUCAGCGCUUGACGGCAGCAAGCAGCUUCUCUGCGGUGACGUCGCACUCCAUGCACAGUUUGGUGGUGCGAAGGGGCGACAGCGAGUCUCACAUCCACGCCCGACGCACAAACGUGAUUGUGCCUCAGCGAACCAGUCGCGCCCUAUCCGGCUCAUGCGCAGACGCCCGUCAUGCACAGGAGCCGACGUACUGCACGGAUUUGAUUGGCGACAUCACCGACAUGUUCGUGGAACGAGAGCGGCAGGCGGUGGCGCGCUUCAACGAAGGAAACGCGAGCAAUGAGCCAACGAACACGAGUACCCUGUACGCCUACUACGCGUCCCCGCGGUACCUGCAGCACCAGCCCGAAAUCAACGAGAAAAUGCGUAUGAUCCUCGUAGAUUGGCUGAUCGAUGUGCACCUCAAGUUCAAGCUGCACGCAGAGACCAUGUAUCUUGCCGUCAACCUUAUCGACCGCUAUCUUUCCUGCGCCAACAACAAGGUAGACCGAACCACGUUCGUACCACGCGCGCAGCUGCAGCUUGUCGGCGUCUGCGCCAUGCUUCUGGCGGCCAAGUACGAGGAGAUCUGGCCACCAGAGGUGAAGGAGUGCGUGCACAUCAGCGCCAACACAUACACUCGCGAGGAGAUUAUCCAGAUGGAGCGCGCCAUCUGCACCGCGCUGUCGUUCCGGCUGACUGUUCCGACGCCCUUCCCGUUCGCCUCGCGCGCGUGGACGGUGCUGGAGGGAGACGACUUCCUCGGCAUUGGCACGGACGAGGAGCAGCGUCGCCAGUACUUCGCGAUUGUGCGCCACGCCACAAGCUUCUUUAUGGAGCAUGCGCUACUGGACUACAAGUGUCUUCAGUUCACCCCGUCGCAGAUUGCCCAUGCGUCGGUGUUUCUGGCGUUGCUGAUGCUGCGCACAAAGCUGGAGCUGCCCAAGACGCCCACCUUCCCUGUGUGGACGGAUGCCCUGCGGUACUACACCAAGUCGGAGGUGCAAGAGUUCCGCGACUGCGCGGAGGUCAUCCUAGAUUAUGUGAACUACGUUCCCACGACCAAGUAUCAGGCGGUGCGCCGCAAGUACAACAGCAGCCGCUACAUGGAAAUCUCCAAAAUGCUGAUGCCUAACGAGCUGCCGACGCUGUGAGGAAGCGGAGGCAGCACGGCUGAGGCGCAUUGACGCGGGCUUGGCGGCCUCGCUGUGUCUGUGCGUGCACGGAAGUGAAUGCUGUACGCAUGUUCUUUUCACCCCUGACCCCCUUUGUUCGUUGGUGUGUGUGUGUGUGUGUGUCGGUGGGCAGCAAUACGAAGGCCGCUGCGGUUAGAUUAUGUUAGAUCCUCGCCUUUCCUGUAGCGAUGUUCUCCUUUUAAAAUCUUUUUUUUUUGUGUGUGGGCGCGCAUGCACUCUUUCGGACGCCAGCAAGAUACCCCUCACAUCCAUCAGCGAGCAACGGUGUGUACGUUGUCGGGGCGUUGCUUUGCGUGUGUGCUUGUCUGCUCAGACUUUUUUUUUUCGGGUGCAGUGCCCCGUAGGGCCCUCCCCCUCCUCCCUCCGUUCUCGGUGCUUGCCCCGAGCUUUUUUCUCUGUCGUGGCUGAUGUCUUCGGCUCUUCUCCCUCUUUUGAUUUCUAUGCCCUUGGCACGUAGCACAGGGCUGCGCAGAACACGCGGACACACCUCAGAUGGAAACGCGCUUGCACAAGUGCGUUCCCGGCGACGAAAACCAGACGCAUGCCACACAAACAACGUACCUUACCCUCCCUUCCUCCCCUCGUCAGCCACAUGUAUAUUGUGAGCGUUUUGUGUCUCUCUCUCGCUCGUAUUACGGCUCUUUGUAUCAUGGGCCGCUGUCUCUGUGGCCGAUGCGCGCACCAACACGCCGCACCCUGUGAUGCGCACACGCACAGACGUGCACCCACUCACGUGGGCUCGUCGCCUUUUUCUUUCGAUUUCUUUGUCUACCUUUGUUUCUCCCCACCUUCCUGUUGCGGUCUGUCGAUGACCAGCGAUGAUGUGAGCGUGCAUGCCCCUUCCGCGUUGCUCGUGAAUGCCCAUGCGCCGAAAAAACCAGACCGACCCACAAACACACACACACACACACACGGAGUGCCAUACAUACAGAUGCCAGCGAUCGCAGCGGGUUGCUCCUCUCCAUGUAUGUGCUUGAGAUGUGUCCGCGUGCGAGCUGCACCCACGCCCCUGUGUGCGUGCCGGUGUGUGAGGGAGAACGGCCUUCAACAACCUUUUUUUUGUUUUGUACUCGAUGGCUCGUAGCUCAGAAACCGCCGUGUCUUCCUCGAAGAAAAAAGAAAGCAACGCGCUGCAAAUCAACGCAGCGAGAGCCCAUGAGGUACGUCCGUUACGACGCCAGAUGCUCCAGCGGUGCGAGGGCGCGUGCGUCGGUGCGCGAUGGCGGGGAGAUGCUGUGCCGGUGCAGCGCUGCACUCAGCACGUUUCUUCUUUCUGUGCGUGCUCUGCGUCUCCCGCUCUACGGUGGCGGUUGCUGGGAGGGAAGCUUCUCUUGUUCUCUCGCUGGCCACUGAGGAUCGCUUGAAGCACCCGAGGGGACUGUGAAG
rnacentral:misc_RNA from 1 species